GGGCAUGUAGCGCAGUUGGUAGCGCGCUCGCUUAGCAGGAGCCCCAUGCUGGGACUUAUUGCUUAUAUAAUCAUUGCGAGAGGUCUUGGGUUCAAAUCCCAACUUGUCCA